rnacentral:pre_miRNA from 1 species
AACCUACUCCCUCCAUCCGGAAAAACUUGUCCCUCAAAUGGAUAUAUCUAGCACUAACUUGGUGCUAGAUACAUCCAUUUUAGAGACAAGCUUUUUCGAACGGAAGGAGUAUAUA